CAUGAAGUCCGGGUGCACUAUAUCCUGAAGCCAGAGGCCGUGGGGGAGCAGAAGGAAAUCGUCUUUUACUAUUUGGUGAUGGCCAAAGGAGGCAUUGUGCGAGCAGGGACCCAGGCUCUGGCUGUGGAGCAUGGUGAUGUUAAUGGGACCUUCUCACUGAUGCUCCCCGUGGAGUCUGAUAUUGCUCCCCUGGCACAGAUGCUCAUAUACACCAUUUCACCCAAUCAGGAGCCUAUUGCUGAUUCAGUCAAAUUCCAGGUCGAAAAUUGCUUUGCCAA